CACCGCGGUUAUACGAGAGGCCCAAGCUGACAGACCCUCGGCGUAAAGCGUGGUUAAAAUAACUUCAAACUAGAGCCGAAUAUUCUCAUAACUGUUAUACGUACAUGAGAAUUAGAAGCCCCACUACGAAAGUGGCUUUAUUAAAUUGAACCCACGAAAGCUAGGACA
rnacentral:rRNA from 1 species